CCAUUGCAAUUAAAUUACUAAAGCGCCUCAUUUUAUCCGCUUCUUUAUACGUAUUUAAUGCUGGCACUUACCGUCGUGGAACAAAUGGACCCCCACCCCCCAAAGAGGUUGACGGUCUCCGUGUCCCUUCACUCCUUGACUAUCUCCAGCUCCCAGCUUUGCUCUACUAAAAUCAGCCUAGUUUGCAGAACAGAACGGAGGAAAUUAAGAGACCUCCGAGUUGCCAAAAUUCCGACCACUCACGAGCAGCAGUGAAGACGUCCUCCCGGGUUCCGGCUGAUUCCAAAGAACAAAGCCGCUGCUGGCAGUGAGGAAGCCGAGUGUCAUUUACAAUACAGUGCUUGAACCUAGGGAGAGGAGUGCUCCAAACUGAAAAGGGAAGGGAUUGGGGAAGAAAGAUAAACAACCAAAUAUGGAAAAAUGAAGAGCACCAAUUUAUGAACUAGAACAUUACAGGAUCCCACCAAAGGCUGUAGUGCCAGAAACUAACUGGAAGAAAAUUUUUACUUUCUACGCUAGCAGCUACAUCUGUUUCCAACAAAAGCUAGGCUUCCUACUUUUGGCACAUGUGUAGACCUGAAGGUGCCCAUAUAAGUCAAACAGAUGAAGCACACAUUCAUGGACUGUCACCUACUUCUGCUUUCAAAGAUUUAAUGAUAUGCUCUAAGACUUUCUUUAAGUUGAAGUACAUUAAUACAUAUUUAUAUAAUCUUUUGUACAAAAUUCACCCUUAUAAG